CCAAGGGUAUGGCUGUUCGCCAUUUAAAGUGGUACGCGAGCUGGGUUUAGAACGUCGUGAGACAGUUCGGUCCCUAUCUGCCGUGGGCGCUGGAGAAUUGAGGGGGGCUGCUCCUAGUACGAGAGGACCGGAGUGGACGCAUCACUGGUGUUCGGGUUGUCAUGCCAAUGGCACUGCCCGGUAGCUAAAUGCGGAAGAGAUAAGUGCUGAAAGCAUCUAAGCACGAAACUUGCCCCGAGAUGAGUUCUCCCUGAGACUUUAAGUCUCCUGAAGGAACGUUAAAGACGAUGACGUUGAUAGGUCGGGUGUGUAAGCGCAGCGAUGCGUUGAGCUAACCGAUACUAAUGAACCGUGAGGCUUAACCUUACAACGCCGAAG
rnacentral:rRNA from 1 species